AAGAAAGGAAAGAGAGAAAAGGAAAGGAAAGAAAAGAAAGGAAAGAAAAGGAAACAAAAGGAAAGAAAGGAAAGGAAAGAAAAGGAAAGAAAGGAAAGAGAGAAAAGGAAAGAAAGAAAAGAAAGUGACUGAAACUGAAUAUGAUAGUGACAGUGAUGAUGAUGAGGAUGAUGUUCAUGUCACUAUCGGAGACAUUAUAACGGGAGCACCACAAUAUGGCCCCGGUAGUGAAGAUUCUUCUAUCUCACCAUGGAGCCCUUAAACCUUGUGUAAGAGAUUACUAAGACGUUACAGGAGUUACGGAAAAGCACCAGUGAAUCUUAAUAUCAAGACAGGAGGAAGAGUUUAUGGAACUACAGGAACAAAAGUCAAAGGGGUAGAGCUCGAUGCACCUAGAAGUAUUAAUGGAGUUCCACUCUUGGAGGUAGAUUUGGAUUCUUUUGAAGAUAAACCAUGGUGUAAACCUGGCGCUGACCUUUCUGAUUAUUUUAAUUAUGGGUUUAACGAAGAUACCUGGAACGCUUACUGUGAAAAACAAAAAAGGAUACGAAUGGGGCUUGAAGUUAUAGCAGUUACCUCAAUUACAAAUAUAUUUAUGGUAAUUAGUAAACAUUUCAAAAUACUCCUGUCUUUUCUAUUUUCUAUUCACUUUUUUUCCCUAAUCACUUUUUCCCCAUAAAGGUGAUUAAAUACUG